ACGGGAGGCAGCAGUGGGGAAUAUUGGGCAAUGGGCGAAAGCCUGACCCAGCAACGCCGCGUGAAGGAAGAAGGUCUUCGGAUUGUAAACUUCUUUUAUGAGGGACGAAGGACGUGACGGUACCUCAUGAAUAAGCCACGGCUAACUACGUGCCAGCAGCCGCGGUAAUACGUAGGUGGCAAGCGUUAUCCGGAUUUACUGGGUGUAAAGGGCGCGUAGGCGGGGAUGCAAGUCAGGUGUGAAAUCUAUGGGCUUAACUCAUAAACUGCACUUGAAACGGCAUCUCUUGAGUGCUGGAGAGGUAGACAGAAUUCCUUGUGUAGCGGUGAAAUGCGUAGAUAUAAGGAAGAACACCAGUGGCGAAGGCGGCCUACUGGACAGUAACUGACGCUGAGGAGCGAAAGCGUGGGGAGCAAACAGGAUUAGAUACCCUGGUA
rnacentral:rRNA from 1 species